rnacentral:rRNA from 1 species
AUGUCACAAGGAGCUGAUGAAUUUCAUUGGAGCCUACAAGCAAAUGGUAAAUUCACGGUGGACUUUAUGUACAAUGCUCUGAUCUAGUCAUAGGUGCCAGUCGAUAAUAAGAAGAUUUGAAAGACGAAGAUACCGCUUAAGAAUAAAAUCUUUGCAUGGUAUCUUCCUUGAGGAGUCACUGUUACCAGAGAUAACCUUAUUAAAAGGAAUUGGCAUGAAAGUACGCAAUGUGUAAUUUGACAUCACGGUGAAACAAUAAAACACUUGUUUUUUCAUUGCAAAUUGCCUCGUUCUAUAUGGCCAGUCAUCCAAGUAGCUUCAAGCUUGUAUCCUCCAUGUAAUGGUGCUGAUAUAUUCAGAAAUUGUUUACAUGGGAUAGAAUAG